GGAUUGAUGAUGACUCCCUUGUCAAAAUAUUCCUUGGAAAAGCUGAACAAAAUGAGUGAAACUUACUACCAUCUCACUCAUUGGAACUGAGGUCC
ensembl:snoRNA SNORD116 Small nucleolar RNA SNORD116